rnacentral:rRNA from 1 species
CCUACGGGUGGCAGCAGUGAGGAAUAUUGGUCAAUGGGCGAGAGCCUGAACCAGCCAAGUCGCGUGAGGGAGUACUGCCCUAUGGGUUGUAAACCUCUUUUGUCGGGGAGCAAAAACCGGACUUGUCCGGCUGUGAGAGUACCCGAAGAAAAAGCAUCGGCUAACUACGUGCCACCAGCCGCGGUAAUACGUAGGUGGCAAGCGUUAUCCGGAUUUAUUGGUGGUAAAGGGCGUGUAGGCGGGGGCGCAAGUCAGAUGUGAAAACUCAGGGCUCAACCCUGAGCCUGCAUUUGAAACUGUGUUUCUUGAGUGCUGGAGAGUCAAUCGGAAUUUCGUGUGUAGCGGUGAAAUGCGUAGAUAUACGGAGGAACACCAGUGGCGAAGGCGGAUUGCUGGACAGUAACUGACGCUGAGGCGCGAAAGCGUGGGGAGCAAACAGGAUUAGAUACCCGAGUAGUC